AAAAUGUCCCAGUUCUUCCAUGGCCUGCCUACUCACCAGACAUGUCACCCAUUGAGCAUGUUUGGGACACUCUGGAUCGACGUGUACGACAGCAUGUUGCAGUUCCCGCCAAUACCCAGCAACUUUGCACAAUCAUUGAAGAGGAGUGGGACAACUUUUCACAGGACACAAUCAACAGCCUGAUCCACUCUAUGGAAAGGCGAUGUUUCGCGCUGCAUGAGGCAAAUGGUAGUCAUACCAGAUACUGACUGGUUUUCUGAUUAACGCCCCUACCUGUUUUGGGGGGGUAUCUGUGACCAACAGAGGCAUAUCUGUAUUCACAGUCAUGUGAAAUCCAUAGAUUAGGGCCUAAUGAGUUUAUUUAAAUUGAUAGAUUUCUUUAUAUGAUCUGUAACUCAGUAGAACCAGAUACAUAACCAGAAGUCUAUGGUCUAGCUACCACUGCACUGGGGACCAACAAACUCCAACCACCUAUUCUGCAUGGGCUGAGGGAAGCUGAGGGUUUCGAUGUGGAACUGGAGACAAGUGGGAGUGAAGUUGCUGGUCGGGGAUUAGAAUGACGGUCAAAGAUAAAAUCAACAUUUAAAAAAAAAAAAAUUAUAGUGACACUAAAAAGGAACAUUGUUAGGUUACAUCCAAUACCUGUUUGCCUGAGGUUGAUGACACGCAAGCGCUUUCGCCCCCCACAAUGUGACAAAACAAUCCUUCCUCGUUAUAGAAAUAGAGAACAGCUCAAACUCCUGGACGGGUUAGAAUAUCUGGUCACACGCAGAGCCUUCGCUCCCUUGUUGUAGGGAGAACCGUUCACAUGCAAUUAAAGUCUAAAUAGAUUGCAUUGCAAAACAACCGUCCCCAUUUAAUUCCUGGAUAAUGACAUUGCAGUUAAGUGGACCCAUUCCUCUAGAGGUGUAGUGCAGGAAAAACCUCAUUAACUUUUUUUGUAUUCCGUUAAUUUUUUCACAAGAAUCCCACCCUUAUCUGUUGACUGAUUAAAAGUGCACUGAGGGAAAUUUUGUACAGAUAACACACAGCAAAUCUCACCGGGGACACCUCCCGAGAUAUGCAAAUCAUUCUAUUUUACAGUGAUGAAAGAGGAAGAAUGAAGAAAAAAUCAUGAUGCCGUUUCACCAGAACUGGGUUCAAGUACUAUUUGAAAUCGUUCAACUAGAUCUAGCGUUUGCUUUAACCUGCCUGGAGUGCCAAAUAAGCGGGUUUUACAGUUUUGUGACUAUUCUAUUGCAGCAGACAAGCUAAAUUAAGUCUUCAGUUUUGAAAUGAGGUCGGUGUUUCAUGUUAGAUUAUGGCCUGGAAGAAGGUCACACUUUAUUUGGAUAGUCCGAUGUAGAAGGUCAUACUGUCAAAACACUAUCUGUUGAUAAGCAACUGCUUGCCAAGGUUACUGUUAGGGUUGGGUUCAAAAUAAGGGUUAGGGUAAGGGUUAAGGCUAAAGGUUAGGUUUAGGGAUAGGAUAAUGGUUGGGGCUAGGUUUCGUAGAUAGUUAGUUAAAAUGUUACUGAUAGUCCAUCUGUAGAUGCUCUACAGGCUAUCCAAAUCAAGUGUUACCUGGAAGAAUGCUGUGGAUCAAGUCCCCGACCAAAAUUCAAAAUGGCUGCUAUGAGUACAGGAGACAAAUGCUUAUCAAAAUGGGUCUGCAUGUUGUUUUUCUGCUCCCUAUCCUGGUCAAUAAUUAAUCCAUGACAUGAAUGAUUUAUGCUCUGUGUGGUCGAAAAAGGUUUGUUUCAGCACGGGUCAGGUAUUGUUUUAUGGUAUUAACUGGGGACACCGGUGUCGGAUUUAGUUGGGGAAAGUAUGUGGUAUCCGUGUAGCUUUGGUUUUUGCUUAUUAAGUUAAAGCCCUUAUGCAUGUGAUUCCAUUGUUUUCUUACAUGCACGUACUAGCAUAUUGGCUAAACAGUACAUGUAUAGUCACUGGAGGUUGGUGGCAGUGGUUAGCAUGCGCACAGUGUCCAUAUUGGGACAGCUACACGUUGGUGGUGGAUGAACAACUUAAGUGGCAUAGACAUGGAUCAACAACACAAAGUACCAGGCACCAUCUGUUGCACAAUACAAGUACGGCAACUUUAACUACUAAGAGGUUCUUAUCGGGAAGCCCUGGGGGCACCAGUGUUUAUCCUACGAAAAAGAUGACAUCAGACGGAAGCAGAGCGAAGGAUUAUGGGGGCUUGUAGGACGUGCUCAGCUGCCACUCAAGACAGCCGGGUUCAGAGGGGUGAGUCUUAAGAGGAGUCUGCCAGGUGAAAGCAAACAUAAUCCAAAAAAGCCAAUGCGCAGUGGGCUUACCCAUGAAUUAACCAUUGCAAGUAUAUUCUCUCCUAUUGCAAAGCACAAGGCAGCCAACAUAUUAGCACCUCCAGAGAACCAUGACAACAUGAAAGGUUUCACAUUUUAAUUGGACAGACUUGAACAAGUUAACGUUGGAUAAUACUUUUUUUUAACGGUUCUACUGACAGUGUCUGUAAUUUGUAAAGUAAUGUACACAUUCUUGAUGCAAAAGAUUAGUAUGUUGUCCCUACCCUCGGUCCUCUUGCACCAAAUAUACCAUGAAUCAAUCUUUAACAAAGCGCUGAGGGGCGUAAUCGUAUCCCGAAAAGUCUGAAUUAAAAUUCCCAUCAUGAAACUGAUUUAACUGGCAGGGGCACAUGUCAUUAAAUCUUUGUGUUUAGUUUCUUCUAAUUACAAAUGAAUGGAAUCACGCUGGCUGCAUUCUGUCACAGCUAUUGCAGUAAAUAAAGACUGUUAAGGAGAA